CCUACGGGUGGCAGCAGUGGGGAAUAUUGCACAAUGGGGGAAACCCUGAUGCAGCGACGCCGCGUGAGUGAAGAAGUAUUUCGGUAUGUAAAGCUCUAUCAGCAGGGAAGAAAAUGACGGUACCUGAUGAAGAAGCCCCGGCGAACUACGGGCCAGCAGCCGCGGUAAUACGUAGGGGGCAAGCGUUAUCCGGAUUUGCUGGGUGUAAAGGGAGCGUAGAAGGAAGCACAAGUCUGGAGUGAAAUGCCGGCGCUUAACCCCGGAACUGCUUUGGAAACUGUGCAGCUAGAGUGCAGGAGAGUUAAGUGGAAUUCCUAGUGUAGCGGUGAAAUGCGUAGAUAUUAGGAGGAACACCAGUGGCGAAGGCGGCUUACUGGACUGUAACUGACGUUGAGGCUCGAAAGCGUGGGGAGCAAACAGGAUUAGAUACCCGGGUAGUC
rnacentral:rRNA from 1 species